rnacentral:rRNA from 1 species
CGAACGCUGGCGGCGUGCCUAACACAUGCAAGUCGUGCGAGAAAGUUCCUUCGGGAGCGAGUAAAGCGGCGCACGGUGAGUAACACGUAGGUAACCUGCCCCCCAGUCUGGAACAACUAGAGGAAACUCUAGCUAAUGCCGGAUGAGACCACGAUCCCUUCGGGGGUCGCGGCCAAAGAUGGCCUCUACUUGUAAGCUAUCGCUGAGGGAUGGGCCUGCGGGCCAUUAGCUUGUUGGUGAGGUAACGGCUCACCAAGGCUGUGAUGGCUAGCUGGUCUGAGAGGAUGACCAGCCACACUGGGACUGAGACACGGCCCAGACUCCUACGGGAGGCAGCAGUGGGGAAUAUUGCGCAAUGGGCGAAAGCCUGACGCAGCGACGCCGCGUGGGUGAUGAAGGCCUUCGGGUCGUAAAGCCCUGUCGCAGGGGAAGAAGUAAAAGCAUCGGUAUAAUACGCCGGUGCCCUGACGGUACCCUGCAAGAAAGCACCGGCUAACUCCGUG